UAACAUUCAACGUGAAUUCAUUCACCUGAUAUUUUACACAAUGAAAAGCUAUAUUCAGCCUGCCUGUCUUCACCAGUUAUGUUCAUAAAAUCAGAUACUACAAGGCCAAAAACAGUAAUAUUGACAUUUAAACGUUUAACAGGGUAAAAACAGCAUGUGUCCCAGCCCUCUAUAGACCCACUGCUGUUCACACAUCAGAGCUCCUCUAACUGUGUGUGACAGGAUUUGUAUAGAGGAAGGGGCUUUGCAUACCUGUCCUGCCUCACUGCUCCACACACUUUAAGACCCCCAGCACUGAUCAGUGACUGCCCAGUCCUUUUACAGACACUGACACAGGCAGCGUUAUGAUGAUGUCACACUUUCUACUGCUGGUAAUGCUGGGACUCCUUGUACAGGGAUCAAUGGCAGAUAUAGUCCUGACUCAGUCUCCAGCAGCUCAGUCUGUUCAGCCUGGAGACACUGUCUCUAUCAGGUGUUCAGCCAGUGAGGGUGUGUACAGUGAUCUCCAGUGGUACUUGCUCAAACCUGGUCAGGCUCCUAAACUUCUGAUUUAUGAUGACACAACUCGCCAGACUGGCAUUCCUGAACGUUUCAGUGGUAGUGGAUCUGGGACUCAGUUCACACUGAAAAUCACUGGAGUCCAGGCUGAAGAUGCAGGAGAUUAUUAUUGUCAGCAGGACGAGAGCUUGCCGCUCACACAGUGUUAGAGAGCCGUACAAAAACCUCCCUCAGUCAGACUGCACAGAGACUGCACUGCUGCAGCUGGGACUACUGCAGGUGCUGAGGGGGGAGGCACUGGUCUUGGACAGCAGUACUACCAACUGGGCUGUAGGGGGCAACAACGAGCCACAGCUUUGAAUACACACCUCUCUGUGCUGAAGAGGAGCUGCUCUGUGUCACACACACUGAACCCAUAGCAGAGCUGCUGCUGAACCACACACACUUCUGUACCACAACAUCACAGGCAUCACACAGUACAUCAGCUCACAAGCAGCAAUCAUCUCCAUGUUGCUCUUGAGUUCAGACUAAUGCAGAGGAUGUGUACAUUCUCCCAGAGGUGGAAUGAGUGGGAUUUCCAAUUAAUUGCUUCCUGAAAAGAUGAGUUUGUAUUCAAAACAUUCUCAAUAAUUUAUGUUAUUAAAGGUUUUCUGUUCACAUCAGAUCCAGGUUUAAGAAUAGCUAUGCUGGACUGAAUCAUAGUAUCAGAUUUUUACAAUUUUGAUCACAUGUCUUUCAGUAUUAAUUCUGGUUUCAGUUUGCUCUUCCAUCAUACUUACCUCCAUUACAUUUUCCAUAGACAGUAUGUGCUUACACGGAGGCAUAAAGACAUGGAGGCAUAAGAAUUUUUCAUAUAGUUUUGUUGGACAUAUUUACUUGCAGAUGUGCCACACAGUUACUGCUUCUCCUAUCUAAUAUACUUCUCUGCUUGCACCACCAGUGAAUACCAUCUGUGGUGACACCGAUGAAUCAGAAGUAAAUGAAUGAGCACAACCCACCAUUCUCAGACUUUUACAAGAAACAAUGCAGGCACGUUUGAGAAGGAGCUAAUCGGAUAAAAUGUCUCACUUCAGCAAGUUCCUAUUGACAAAUUAAGAUGACUGAAACCGAAAUCAUUGAAGCCAUUGAUUUUGUUAUAAUGCUGAAUGAUAUAUCUGCAAACUGUUUUAGCAUACAACAUGCAGAUAGCAAAUAUAAACAACUUUUGGUUAAAAUAAAAUGUUCUACUUUAAAUAUUUAAAUAAGAACAUAAUUUUGUGCUAUAAAUAUUAAUGAAACAAGAACACAUUUGUGUUAGAUCAUCUUUGUGUUUAAAUGUAUCCCAUAAUGUCUUGCUUGUUUCUGUACGGAUUGAAUAUGGCUUUAAGUUCAUCCACACAUCUGAAAUCUCUAAUCUGAGAUUCAUGCUGACGCAGGUGUGAGGUACAGCCCCCUCCCUUUCUCACUUCACUACAGAAAUGAGUCCUCCACCUCCUCAUGUUCAAACAUCUGUUUUCGGUGUGGGGGUAUUUUGGGCUGAGAAACUGCGAGCUGUGGGUGAGGGGAGUGAAACUGAGAUUUGCAUACGCGGGGUAGGAGGGGGAGUGAAACUCAGAUUUGAAUGCGCAGGGCGGGGCAGGCUGGUUCUGCUGGUCCCUCAGCGGGACUGACCCAAACUGGGAACAGGGCGCCGCUGUGCCCAGGUGUCUGGGCCGUCCCCAGGGGCUCAGUGUGAGUCGAGCGCACUUCCUGCCGCACAGGACUGCUCUGAGCGCGCUCACACAUCACUGCUCCUCUCAGCAGGGCUCCAGAGCUGGGCCUGCCCCUCCCUGACUGAUUCCGCAUCGCUCACUUCACACACAGCCUCUCAGCACUAUGGAGCCCAUUAUAAACACCUGCAUUUAUUCAAUAAGAAACAUCCCAAUAAAAUAGAGUAUCACAUUCUGUGUAUAAUUUCAAAUGAAGGACUUUAAGAAUGUAGUGGACCCAUAAUCUUUGCUUAAUUACGUUUUUAUUGAUAUGGUUUUUUUAUUAUUUCAUUUGUUUAUAGUACUUCUUGUAAUUAAUUAUAAUUAUAUUGUCCGUGAAAAGAAAACUCAGGUUACAUUUCUUAGGUGAUUCUUCCUAAAUUUAUAUCAAAUACGCUGUUCAGAUUCAGGAAUAAAUAUCUAUUUGCGAUUAAA